rnacentral:rRNA from 1 species
UACGGAAGGCAGCAGUGGGGAAUAUUGCACAAUGGGCGCAAGCCUGAUGCAGCCAUGCCGCGUGUAUGAAGAAGGCCUUCGGGUUGUAAAGUACUUUCAGUCGUGAGGAAGGUGUUAAGGUUAAUAACCUUAGCAAUUGACGUUAGCGACAGAAGAAGCACCGGCUAACUCCGUGCCAGCAGCCGCGGUAAUACGGAGGGUGCGAGCGUUAAUCGGAAUUACUGGGCGUAAAGGGCACGCAGGCGGUUAAUUAAGUUGGAUGUGAAUCCCCGGGCUUAACCUGGGAAUGGCAUUCAAGACUGGUUAGCUAGAGUCUUGUAGAGGGGGUAGAAUUCCAUGUGUAGCGGUGAAAUGCGUAGAGAUGUGGAGGAAUACCGGGUGGCGAAGGCGGCCCCUGGGACAAAGACUGACGCUCAUGUGCGAAAGCGUGGGGAGCAAACAGGAUUAGAUACC